rnacentral:snRNA from 1 species
AGCUUUGCACAGUGGCAGUAUCAUAGCCAGUGAGGUUUUUCUGAGGUGUGAUUAUUGCUAAUGGAAAACUUUUCCCAAAACGA